ensembl:lncRNA
CGGGAGCCGGGAUUUCCCGGCGGGUUGCGGAGCCCCCCGGACGCGGGGCGCGGGAGCUCGGGGCUGGCAGCGGGGCGUGGGCAGUGGGCGUUAUACGGGCUGAGGACGCGUAAGCUUCGCUCGACAUCGUUGAGGAAAGCGGCAGCAGCGAGCCGGGGGACUGAGAACUGGACUUUAAUUAAAAGUAGCGAAACUGUGCGCGGCCUUCCAUUAAUAAAGCAGCGUGGUACUCGGGAGCAACAGCGGAACGGCGUCGGUGUGCGAUCCAAAUGGAAGCUGCUUGCAAUUCUUUACUCAGAGGGUGGUGAGGCAUUGGCACAGGCUGCCCAGAGGAGCUGUGGAUGCCCCAUCCCUGGAGACAUUCUGGGCCAGGAUGGAUGGGACCCUGAGCCUUCUGAUCUGCUGAGUGGCAGCCCUGCCCGUGGCGAGGGGUUGGAAAUGAAUGAUCUUAGAGAUUCCUUCCAAUCCAAACCUUUCUAUGCUUCUGUGGUCUCGGAGGAUCACACCUGCCUGAAACAGCUGGCCAAAUCCAGCCAACAUUGAGAUGCUACAGAAGCAGGCUUUUACCAAUCUUAUCAUCUCCAGAAAUACAUCUGUAACUAAAAAGGCAUCCAGCAAAAGUUGCUUUUGAGCAUAGCUAUUAACAAUGGUAUGCAAACACGUCUGUUUGUGACUUGUGGUUUUGAAUUGGCGCUGUCCCAUAAGCGGUGAGAGCAAACGCGGGCCAAGCUGUUGGAUCCACAACGUGCAACUGGUACACAAGCUGUGCUUCGGCAGCACUGUUACGUUGAGAUAAGCAGGAGCAUGUGUAGUAAAUAGCAGAAGGAUCUGCUCCAGGAUGCACACUGAUGCUGAGGAAGGGAAUCACCAAAAUGAGCAGCGUUUGGUGGCACCUGGCAGCCAACAAAGCCUUCCCGAGGAAGAGCAGUGAGUGCAGGGGUACCUAAUGGCUGGACAUAAGUACCACUUAAAUCCCUGGCACCAGCAGGGAGGAGUGCAGGAGGGUGGGAGCCUCACGGGCAGGCUGCAGGCGGCCCAGUGGAGCAUGCCCCGAUGGCCCUACGCUGCCUGCUGCCUAGCAGGGCCAGGAGCGCCCAGCUCACUGCUGGCUGAGGCGCGGGAACAGGCCGAGUGCCUGGAACCCAACUGCUGGCUGGGGCUGGAGCCUCCUCGUUAAAUGAAUCAUUCAUUAGGCAGAAAAAGGCAUACUGAGGACCAAACAACAACUUCAUUAUUCUGUAUUUCGACCCUUUUUCCUCCUCCGAAGAAAGAAUUACUUCCCACACGGCUACAGCGGAGAAUCUGAAGGAAUAAUGAGCUUUCCGAAUCGCUCAUGUGAAGCAGAAAUAAAACAAGAGGAAGGAGCUCCCCGUGUGUCUCUCUGUUCUCCUCACAGAACUCAGAGGAAGAGCCCUUCUGUUUCAGUGCGGGCUUGGCCAGCUGCUUCCUUCUCCAGUUCUUUCUCCCCUUUCCUCUGAACCAAAUUGUUCAGCAGUCUUGUGACUAAACCCAGGAGUUCACAGAUUUGGAUCUUGUCUCUUUAUUUAAAUCAAAUGUGUACAAAAUGAUGCACGGCCACACAAAGGGGAGCAAGGAUUGGAAAUAAACUCUGUGCUGCUGGGAGCCUUGAUUUCUGCAAUAAAUAAGUCGAGGAGAUGUUUUAUACAUUAAAGUGGGGGUAAUGUUUUAUACAUUAUGUUAUUAAAUAUUUU